GUUCACAGGAAAAGGAGAAUCAGUGCCAGCUUUGCUCGCUCAAAGAGAUUUAAGCAAAAGGCAGAUGAGCCCUGAGUGCAGCCUGAGCUUCUGAACGUCCCAUGGUUUCCAGGGCCGGUUUCCAGGGCCAGCUCAGGGGAGAGGUGUUUGGUCUGGGUCAGCUGUGUUCUGUACUAGGUUCUUCCUUUUCUGAGAGACACUGCCAGCCCCAAGGACUAAGAGCCUGGCAAGGUCCCAAGUCAUCCGAAGGAGGAGGGCUGGCACGUUUCCUCUGGGGAAGGCAGCAAGUGGGAGACAUUGGCUUUCUCGCCUCUGUGAAGAAGGAGGCAGGUUGCUCCCAAAGAAGAAAGGCUCACAUUGCACUUUUGACGCAAGGAGUGUCUGCCUCCAGGCACAGUUCUCCAGCACUGGGAUGGACCUGUGCUGUGUCCCUACCCAUGCAUCCAGUUCUGUGCUGUGCUAGGCGCGGGAGGGAACUCUUCAGAGAGCAGAUAACUCCAACACCUCGGCUGUUUCCAGAAGCUGGGUGCAGCCUGGCUUUCCUGUUUCCCUUCCCUCACCUGCUGGCAGCCCCCAUCAUACCUCAGGAGGAGGCUACCGGAAUGGCUACGUUUCCAAAGUUUCUCCGCAGUUACAAAAUGAACGCAGGAGAUGCGUCCAUGGCAGAAGCAGCACACUGGGAAGAGGAGGAAAAUGCUUGUCUGUUGAGUGACAUGAAGCCAUACAGUCUGCUUAGGUGGCUUCCGGGUCCAGUCUUGGUCUGUGCUUCCAAGCUGCACCUCUUCUGCCGCCCUCUCCACAGCACUGCAGACGGUGCCCACGGCGGGCUCCCUGGCUCCCGGCUUCUCUAGCAGCAGUGGUGCUGCUGCAUUCUGCUGUCUUUUCAGUGGCUGCUGAAGAAACAAACUUCACAAUAGUAAAAAGCUGCGAACUUUUCCUCAGUGUCAGCAUGGGAGGAGGGUGGCCACUGUUGCUUCUGUUCAAUCUGGUUCUGGAAAUCCUUGCCACGAUGAUCAGAAAGAGUAAGGAAUGGAAGAGUCUUGACGGCAAAGGAAGAACUAAACUGUCUUUGCUAAUGGCCUAGCCUUCCAUCAAGGAAAGCCUCAAGACACUCCUAAAACAAAGUGAGCACUAAUCCACAAAUUUGGUGAAAUUGCAGAAUAAAAAUGAACACACACA